GAAUAUUGGACAAUGGGCGCAAGCCUGAUCCAGCAAUGCCGCGUGGGUGAAGAAGGCCUUCGGGUUGUAAAGCCCUUUUGUACGGGAAGAAAACCUGUUCGUUAAUACCGGACGGGAAUGACGGUACCGUAAGAAUAAGCACCGGCUAACUUCGUGCCAGCAGCCGCGGUAAUACGAAGGGUGCAAGCGUUAAUCGGAAUUACUGGGCGUAAAGCGUGCGUAGGCGGUUUGUUAAGUCUGAUGUGAAAGCCCUGGGCUCAACCUGGGAAUGGCAUUGGAUACUGGCGAGCUAGAGUGCGGUAGAGGGUGGUGGAAUUCCCGGUGUAGCGGUGAAAUGCGUAGAGAUCGGGAGGAACAUCCGUGGCGAAGGCGACCACCUGGACCAGCACUGACGCUGAGGCACGAAAGCGUGGGGAGCAAACAG
rnacentral:rRNA from 1 species